CCCAACACUACCUCAUCAACCAGACCACGGCACUGAGUGCCACAUCCAGUCUUCCCUUAAACACCUCCAGGGACGGCUCCACUCCUUGUUCAGUCCUGAUGGAAUGAUUGCUGCUGAUUUGUUGACAUCCACUGGUUCAACAUACCCAAGUGUGCGAAACAAUAAAGGUGCCAGACCUAAGUGGGUUCCAGCAAAGAACGUUAAACCAUAUUGCACACGAGAACAUGCUGAUGAGUCCAAGAGCAGAGAGACAAGCACAGAGGUGUGAGCCAAACAGAGCCCACGAGUCCUGCCUGACAAAUCUUGUUCACCUGUGGAACCUGCAAACCCUGCUUUUUGCAUCAUUGUGAAAAAUGUGUAAAUUGUUGAUUUCAUGGACUCCUUCGGCAAAAACAUGGUAUUUUUGUGCUAUAGAGAGUAUAUCCUAUCGAAUUUGCAAAGAUGAAAUUACCCCUUCUAUUUUUUGUUAUAGGUAGCUAGUCCCCAAGCAAAUUUGAGAAAGUACAAGAGUAGAAUUUGGGAAAUAAGAUAUAUGAAAAGGUCUUUUGCUAAAAAAUAGCUCACGAAAACUAUGGAGCUGAAUGAAGUAUUAUGCUGGUACUUGCUGGUCUUGCUUGUUCUGUGCAGAGCAGAUUUGCCUGUAGAACAACCAAAAACAAAUGUCUGCCUUAGCCAAGGCUGCAAGCUCAGACACCAUAUGCCUGUCCGAUUCAAAUCCAGAAAAGCCCUUUUCAACCUGUCUAGUUGGUGUGCCAAUAAAAGAUUGGCCAAUACCCAUAUAUUAUGAUCCUUUGACCAAAAAAACAACUUAAUAGCAAGCGUGGUGAGGUUGCUAACGGGACCAAUCUUGUGACUGAUUGGAACAUCUGGACCAAAGGAUUUCCAAAAGCAGAAUCUGAACCCCAAGAAUUGGAAAUUCUUGGUUCUUUGACCAUGGAUUUUUGCCUCACAUUUUCAUCUAGCAAUUCAUGAGAGAAUGAUUCUCCGAAGUGCAAUGUCACUCCCAAUUACCCUGCUUAUAGGAACUCCAGUUUUUGGUGGAAUUACUCAGACAGUUGGGGUAAAUUUUCCAGGGCUGACCAAUAUCCAUGAAAAUUACCAAAAGGAUAUUGGUUCAUUUGUGGAGAUAGGGCUUGGCAAGAUAUUCCAUCACACCUUGAAGGUGGUCCAUGCAGCAUUGGACAACUCACUAUGCUACCACCUAAAACAGUCAUUCAGAAAAAACAUACAGGAAAAAGAUUUUUCCACCAGUAUGAUGAAAAUUGUCAGAAUGAUUUUAGACCCUGAAAGGCUGCAGACAGAGCUUCAGCAGGUUUGCUACUACCCCAGCUUGCCUCAGCAGUGGCAUUGAAACAAUUAGAUCGGGUAAGAUGUUGGCUGAGUAAACAGACCAAUGCCACAUGCAUUGCAAUCAGUGAUAUGCUGACUGGUGUCAGCGGUGUUAGACAUGCUACCCUUCAAAAGGUAGAGCAGCAAUUGAUUUUCUCUUACUGGCACAUGGACAUAGUUGUGAGGAGUUUGAAGGAUUAUAUUGUAUGAACUUGUCUGACCACUCUGAGUCCAUCCACAAAAGCAUACGAAAGCUGGAGGAUUUAACAUCUCAAAUUAAAAGAGACAAUGAAUUAUGGUUAGACAAUUUGUUCGAAGGAUAGAACUUCGCAACUUGGUUAAAGCAGCUUUGCGAAAUAGGCUUGUAUGUUUUAAUGGUUGUUGUGCUGAUAUUAGCAGUAAUGCCUUGUAUGCUUCAGUGUGUUUGAUGAGUGAUGAACAAAGCUGUCAAAGUUUUUAUUGUACAAGGAACCACAAUAAAUUCUCAAAAUCUUACAAAGGUAGUAGAUGCAAGUAUAGAUAUAGAUGAAGGCUUUGAAUUAAGACCCUCUAAUGGACAGGACUUAU